rnacentral:rRNA from 1 species
UACGUAGGGGGCUAGCGUUAUCCGGAAUUACUGGGCGUAAAGGGUGCGUAGGCGGUCUUUCAAGCCAGAAGUGAAAGGCUACGGCUCAACCGUAGUAAGCUUUUGGAACUGUAAGACUUGAGUGCAGGAGAGGAGAGUGGAAUUCCUAGUGUAGCGGUGAAAUGCGUAGAUAUUAGGAGGAACACCAGUAGCGAAGGCGGCUCUCUGGACUGUAACUGACACUGAGGCACGAAAGCGUGGGGAGCAAACAGGAUUAGAUACCCGCGUAGUCCCUGA